AGAGUUUGAUCCUGGCUCAGGAUGAACGCUAGCUACAGGCUUAACACAUGCAAGUCGAGGGGCAGCAUCGCGAUAGCUUGCUAUUGCGGAUGGCGACCGGCGCACGGGUGAGUAACGCGUAUCCAACCUUCCCGCAACUGGGGAAUAACCUUGCGAAAGUAAGACUAAUACCCCAUGGUCUCCACGGAUGGCAUCUGAAAUGGAGUAAAGGUUUCGGCCGGUUGCGGAUGGGGAUGCGUCCGAUUAGCUUGACGGCGGGGUAACGGCCCACCGUGGCAUCGAUCGGUAGGGGUUCUGAGAGGAAGGUCCCCCACAUUGGAACUGAGACACGGUCCAAACUCCUACGGGAGGCAGCAGUGAGGAAUAUUGGUCAAUGGGCGGAAGCCUGAACCAGCCAAGUAGCGUGAAGGACGACUGCCCUAUGGGUUGUAAACUUCUUUUAUGCGGGGAUAAAGUUCGCCACGUGUGGCGUUUUGCAGGUACCGCAUGAAUAAGGACCGGCUAAUUCCGUGCCAGCAGCCGCGGUAAUACAGAAGGUCCAGGCGUUAUCCGGAUUCAUUGGGUUUAAAGGGAGCGUAGGCCGCCUUUUAAGCGUGUUGUGAAAUGUAGGGGCUCAACCCCUGCACUGCAGCGCGAACUGGAGGGCUUGAGUACACACAAAGUAGGCGGAAUUCAUGGUGUAGCGGUGAAUGCUUAGAUAUCAUGAAGAACCCCGAUUGCGAAGGCAGCUUACUGGAGUGUAACUGACGCUGAAGCUCGAAAGCGCGGGUAUCGAGCAGGAUUAGAUACCCUGGUAGUCCGCGCGGUAAACGAUGGAUGCCCGCUGUUUGCCACUUUGGUAAGCGGCCAAGCGAAAGCGUUAAGCAUCCCACCUGGGGAGUACGCCGGCAACGGUGAAACUCAAAGGAAUUGACGGGGGCCCGCACAAGCGGAGGAACAUGUGGUUUAAUUCGAUGAUACGCGAGGAACCUUACCCGGGCUUGAAUUGCAGGAGAACGAUCCAGAGAUGGUGAGGCCCUUCGGGGCUCCUGUGAAGGUGCUGCAUGGUUGUCGUCAGCUCGUGCCGUGAGGUGUCGGCUUAAGUGCCAUAACGAGCGCAACCCCUCUCCGUAGUUGCCAUCGGGUGAAGCCGGGCACUCUGCGGAUACUGCCACCGUAAGGUGUGAGGAAGGUGGGGAUGACGUCAAAUCAGCACGGCCCUUACGUCCGGGGCUACACACGUGUUACAAUGGGGCAUACAGAAAGCAGGCGGCCGGCAACGUCCGUCUAAUCAUCAAAGUGUCCCUCAGUUCGGACUGGGGUCUGCAACCCGACCCCACGAAGCUGGAUUCGCUAGUAAUCGCGCAUCAGCCAUGGCGCGGUGAAUACGUUC
rnacentral:rRNA from 1 species